rnacentral:rRNA from 1 species
CGGACGCUAAUACCGCAUACGUCCUACGGGAGAAAGCAGGGGACCUUCGGGCCUUGCGCUAUCAGAUGAGCCUAGGUCGGAUUAGCUUGUUGGUGAGGUAAUGGCUCACCAAGGCGACGAUCCGUAACUGGUCUGAGAGGAUGAUCAGUCACACUGGAACUGAGACACGGUCCAGACUCCUACGGGAGGCAGCAGUGGGGAAUAUUGGACAAUGGGCGAAAGCCUGAUCCAGCCAUGCCGCGUGUGUGAAGAAGGUCUUCGGAUUGUAAAGCACUUUAAGUUGGGAGGAAGGGCAUUAACUUAAUACGUUGGUGUCUUGACGUUACCGACAGAAUAAGCACCGGCUAACUCUGUGCCAGCAGCCGCGGUAAUACAGAGGGUGCAAGCGUUAAUCGGAAUUACUGGGCGUAAAGCGCGCGUAGGUGG